rnacentral:rRNA from 1 species
GAUGAACGCUGGCGGCGUGCCUAAUACAUGCAAGUCGAGCGAACGGACGAGAAGCUUGCUUCUCUGAUGUUAGCGGCGGACGGGUGAGUAACACGUGGAUAAUCUACCUAUAAUACUGGGAUAACUUCGGGAAACCGGAUCUAAUACCGGAUAAUAUUUUGAACCGCAUGGUGCAAAAGUGAAAUACGGUCUUGCUGGCUCUUCUAGAUGGUUCCGGGCUGGAUUGGCUGGUUGGUAAGGUAACGGGUUACCAGGGCAAGUAUGCAUAGCCGAACUGAUGGGGGGAUAGCCCACACGGGAACUGAGACGCGCUCCAGGCGCCUGCGGGAGGCACCAGUAGGCAACCUUCCGCAACGGGCGGAAGCAUGACGGAGCGAGGCCGCGUGAGUGAUGAAGGUGUUCGGUUCGUAAAAAUCUGUUAUUAGGGAAAAACAGAUGUGUAAGUAGCUGUGCACAUAUUGACGGUAACUAAUCAGAAAGCCCCGGCUAACUACGUG